rnacentral:ncRNA from 2 species
AUCUUAUCCUGAGUUGGUGGAGGGACAGGCCCUAGGAAACCCAGCAACCGUCACUGCAUAUAGUGAAAUGGUGCUAACCUGAUGCAAGGUAUUGGACCUUGAACGAUAAGAG